AUUCCUUGCAUAUGGACCUUAGUGCGACUCCUCGCAGAAUGCUUGUGCUUGCUCUGGAUUUCCUUCGGAGAUACGUGUGUCACUUGAUUUGGCUCCCUGGUUAACUUCGAAAGAUCGGAAGGUGGUCCUGAUUCGUCCAUGGCCAGAAUGGAAGGAUUCUCAGUGGUAGCACUGGCAAUGGUAACAUGACCUGUGCUCGGAUAAUCAAGCA
rnacentral:misc_RNA from 1 species